rnacentral:rRNA from 1 species
UGGGGAAUAUUGGACAAUGGGCGCAAGCCUGAUCCAGCCAUGCCGCGUGAGUGACGAAGGCCUUAGGGUUGUAAAGCUCUUUUGGCGGGGAAGAUAAUGACGGUACCCGCAGAAUAAGCUCCGGCUAACUUCGUGCCAGCAGCCGCGGUAAUACGAAGGGAGCUAGCGUUGUUCGGAAUCACUGGGCGUAAAGCGCACGUAGGCGGAUGUGUCAGUCAGGGGUGAAAUCCCGGAGCUCAACUUCGGAACUGCCCUUGAUACAGCACGUCUUGAGUCCGAUAGAGGUGGGUGGAAUUCCUAGUGUAGAGGUGAAAUUCGUAGAUAUUAGGAAGAACACCGGUGGCGAAGGCGGCCCACUGGAUCGGUACUGACGCUGAGGUGCGAAAGCGUGGGGAGCAAACAGGAUUAGAUACCCCGGUAUUCCCUGAGCGGGCUGGCAAGGCGCAU